AAGAAAGCAAUGAGGAAGAGUAGUACAUUCAAAAUGUGGUUUAGAGAGCCUGUGGCUGGUGUGAACAGGUGCACAAAUGGAUGGAAUGGACUUCUGAGCUCCUAGGUGAACAAUGAAUUAGUAGCUAAGGGCGUAGCUCUGCGUUAAAGAGAUGGUUUGUGAGUGACCAUAAACCGCUAAGUGGUUGUAGGAUAAGGCAUAUUUAUCCACGACAAUAAAGGGUGGCACCGCGGAAACGUACCAUUCGUCCCUUAA
rnacentral:ncRNA from 1 species